CCUUUCAUAGCUUAGUGGCCAGAGCAUUGGUGCGUAAAGCCAAAGGUCCCGGGUUCGAUUCCCGGUGAGGGUG
rnacentral:tRNA from 1 species